rfam:Triticum urartu cultivar G1812 contig917483, whole genome shotgun sequence.
CGUGGAUCCCUGAUGUUAUUGUUUACUGCGUUAUCUUUCUCGAACUUCUAAGUAAUGAGGAAAGCAUUACCUACUGAGAUCCAAG